rnacentral:rRNA from 1 species
CUACGGGUUGCUGCAGUGGGGAAUAUUGGACAAUGGGGGAAACCCUGAUCCAGCAAUGCCGCGUGUGUGAAGAAGGCCUGCGGGUUGUAAAGCACUUUCGGUUGGGAGGACUGCUUCUAGCACUAAUAUUGUUGGAAGUUGACGUUACCUUCAGAAGAAGCACCGGCUAACUCCGUGCCAGCAGCCGAGGUAAUACGGAGGGUGCAAGCGUUAAUCGGACUUACUGGGCGUAAAGCGCGCGUAGGCGGCUAGAUCAGUCGGGUGUGAAAGCCCCGGGCUUAACCUGGGAACUGCAUCCGAUACUGGCUAGCUUGAGUACAGGAGAGGAGAGGGGAAUUCCACAUGUAGCGGUGAAAUGCGUAGAUAUGUGGAGGAACACCAAUGGCGAAGGCAGCUCUCUGGCCUGAUACUGACGCUGAGGUGCGAAAGCGUGGGGAGCAAACAGGAUUAGAUACCCUCGUAGUC